AAAUAAUUAAUUCCAUAUAUACAUUUCGUAAUUACAUACAUUAUACGGUAAAUAUUUUACUAAUUCCACAUAUACAUAAUAAAUAGUAUACAACAAUUUCAUUAUACAUAAUCAUAAAAUUUUGAUCCAUAAAAACAGUUUAUACAAUAAUUUUAUUAUAUAUAAUCAUAAAAUUUUGAUCCAUAAAAAAUAAAAAUACAUUUGUGUGAUUUUACAGGUCGUAUUCUAAAUAAAUGGAUGAUAUAAUUAAGGGUUUACAUGAUAAAAUAAAACUACUCAAUAUAAACUAUAAAAUUAUUGUGUUUAUAAAUGUCAUAUUAAAAAAAAAUUAAACGGGUAAAUUUUAAAAUAUAUAUUAUCACUUAUACAAAUAAAUAUUCAUUUAUCAAAAAACUAACACCUGCGCGGAUGCGCGGGUCAAGCUCUAGUUAGAAUUAUUAGAUAAACAAAAACUUGACUAAGUAGAAAAGCAAAUUUUAUCCUAAAGCCUAAAGGAAAGAGAGAUGUUAGAGCAACUCCAAUGGUGUAACCCACCAUUGGAAUCCUUAGCAUUUAAAUAAUAUAUAUAUUUUUUUUUGAAUAGUUAAUAACUCUAAUCAUAAAUGUAGCUCCAAUGGUGUAUUCCAAAAUGGAGUUCUAAGGGAUUUUUUUUAAUUUGAAAUUUGAAAAAAAUUACUUAUCAGGUUUAAGAAUCAUGGUUAGAGUUAAAAAAAUUACUAAUCAGGUUUAAGAAUCAUGGUUAGAGUUAAAAAAAAAUUACUAAUCAGGUUUAAGAAUCAUGGUUAGAGUUAAAAAAAUUACUAAUCAGGUUUAAGAAUCAUGGUUAGAGUUAAAAAAAUUACUAAUCAGGUUUAAGAAUCAUAGUUAGAGUUAAAAAAAUUACUAAUCAGGUUUAAGAAUCAUGGUUAGAGUUAAAAAAAAUUACUAAUCAGGUUUAAGAAUCAUGGUUAGAGUUAAAAAUAAAAUUACUAAGCAGGUUUAAGAAUCAUGGUUAGAGUUUAAAAAGAAUUACUAAUCAGAUUUAAGAAUCAUGGUUAGAGUUAAAAAAAAUUACUAAUCAGGUUUAAGAAUCAUGGUUAGAAUUAAAAAUAAAAUUAUUAAUCAGGUUUAAGAAUCAUGGUUAGAGUUUAAAAAAAAAUUAAUAAUCUCAGACCAAUGAGACAGCGCCAACACAUUAAUGACUUCAUCCUUUUAAUCCUUAGUUAAGGAUUCAUUCUUAACUUUUCUUAACCGUGCACCAUUUUUUAAUGUUUGUUUAAUGAUAAAGUGCUAAGGAUUAUAGCUCCACCAUUGUACAUGCUCUAACGUGGAUAUGGUGGAGCUAUAUAUGGUUAUUUAGACAAAACAAAGGCUGAUCAAAAGUUUGUCACGUCCACUUCUAGUUCCAACCACUCUUAAUUCCCCUACAUAUUUCUGUCGGCCCAGCAAACCUCGUCUUCAAAUGAUACAAUACAACAAAUCGUAAGUGAUGCGGACAGUAUUAGGGUAUAAUAUUAUAUGAUUGCUAACUAUGGUACCAUCUGCCUAGAGAUAUAAAGUUGUACACAAAGGAAGUAGAAUAUUAUAGAUAGACCCAAAUGUAGUACUAUAGAGGAAGUCGUCCGACUAAUUUCAAGAGCUAAUCAGUUCCAUAGAGAAAAUUUGACCUACCGAUUUUCAGCUGGGCACUGACACCAGAUAGGUAGACUAGGAUGCGUCUAUCGGGUUUGGUUCAAAUUGUUCGUGUUUUGUUCAUCCUUUUAGAUCCUAUUCGGGUUUUAUUUAUGUUCGGAUCGGGUUCGAAUAUAUUUUCUCUGUAUAAAACCUAUUUUGGAUACAAAUUCAUUUUGGGUUCGAUUAAACAACUGCCCAGUUGGUUGACAAUGUAUGUAAAUGUAAAUUCUACAGAGUCAAACAAGGAUGUUGAAGAUGCUUAUAGAACUUUCGUAUAUGAAAAGCAGAAAUGAGCUUUUGGCUGUUUGCACGGUAUUACCCUAACUUGAAAGUGUGUUCUUUGACUUUUUGAGGGUUGAUUUAGAGUAGACAAUAUCUGUAAUUCAACUCUCCAUUGAUAUAUCCGGUUAAUAUACAUGGAAAGUUGACUUAUCCGGCCAAGAUAACAAAUCGAUUCCGAGCCUUUGAUUCACUAGAUGCGCGCGGCUUGACUAAAGACACAUGCCGUCAGCAAUUUUUUUAUUUUUUACCUCUUUUGUAUAAAUACUAUACCUAUGCGAUUGUAAAACUUUUUAACAGAAAAGAAAUAAAGAAAUCUCAUCUUCUUCACCAGUGUUUCUAUGAGGUUUCACUUCUACUUUCAGGUACUACUAGUCUACUACAAACGUGUGACCAAAGUACACGCAGUGGAAACUUAUGGUAGCUUAUGUAGCCGGAACACAAGUUUGUGGUCUCGAUUGCUUGAAACGCAAUUUUUGCUACGAGUGUUUUUUUCUAGAAAAUAAAUAUCUUUUUUUUUGGAAAACUUUUGGAAUUAUUCAUCAAGUACUUUUAAAAAAUGCAAACAAAGUGUUUAAAUUUGGGUUUAUUUAGACAAAAAAAACGCAUUAGUUAUAAACGCAAACGCAGAUAAAUAUCCAGGGCCUAUGAGCACUGAAAGCUUAUUCCAGAGAUAAAGGAAAAAAAGAAGACCAUCUGCAAAAGCCGCUCCCUUCUUCUCUUCUUUACUGCCCCGUAGUCGUAGUCGUUGUCCCUCCUCUCAAAGAAAACUUUUUUACUUUGUUGAAAUCUUCUUGUUUUAUCGACGAAGAAGAUUUGUUUUUCUGUCCAUUAUCAGCCUGUAACUCAAAAACUUCAACUUCAACUCUAUCCGGCUCAUGCAAUUCCGUUCUUGUUGCAGGUUUGUCUUGUUUCUUACUCUGCUUUUUCCUAAAACAUAUGAUUUUGAAAAACCAAAAAACAAAAAAACAUAACAAAUAAAAACAUAUGUUUUUCAGAAAUAUCAUAAAUCCUGUCGACAUUUUCCACGGGGUGUAGAUGGAUUGCUUGUCCAACUUAAGUGAAAUAUUUAGAGAGAAAAUGCAUUGUUUUCUUGAAGAUGCUUCUUUGAUCUUCAAUAAGAUGUGAAAUUACUUAAGUUUUAGCAGCGUAUUAUAAGCGUGGGGGCUGGUAUUACUUUAUAGUUUAUAUUCUUUUUUUUUCUCAAAACAUGACUUGCCUAAGAACAGAGUUGGCUCCACGUAAUUGCCUUUGUCCUUUUUCUAGAGUCAAGUCGUUAGGAAAGUACGUACUUAAGAAGAAGACAUGAUUACAAAGUUCUAAUGUAUCGAUGUGAUUGACCAACCGAAUCAACUAAUCAUCAUAACUUGAACAAAUAUAUAUAAUUCAGAGCAUAGAAAUAAACAGGAUAAAUCAACUAUGUCUUCAAUAUCUUAACGGAGUAGCUCCAUGACGUACCAUAGCUCCAAACCAAUUUUAAACUUCAGAGUUGACUCCAUGCAGCUUCCACUCUUCUACCACUCACUUGUUAGGAUAUUACCAAAAAGGAAUAAUACUUAAAAGAAGAAAGUUUUCGGGCGGGUGUUUUUUUUGUUAAUGUAACUAAAUAUUUUUUACACCAUUAUAUAAUCUAUACAAAUUAUAAUAAAAUGGUAACAAAAAAAUACAUCACAUAAUACAUAUAUUGUUGUUACAUAAUUCCACAAAUAGUAAAAGUAAAAUGAUUUAUAUAACUGUAAAUGUAAAUAUCACGCGAAUAUUUGUUUUUAUUUAACAAAUAUCAUUUUUAUUUUUUCGAUAUCGAGUUGGCUAGUGGUAAAGAAAAUGCUACUAGUCUUUCAUUGGUCGGGUUUGAUACGCGUUGGACAGAAUUAUUUAUAACAUUUGGGUUCCCAUUAAAAACAUAAACCAUUUUUUAUUUUUUUAGAAAUAUACUUUUGUUUUCUAUAAAUAAUAUAAUGUAUAUUUUAUUUUUUCCAUGUAUUAUGUAUUUUUUAUUAUGACAUUACGCAUAAUAAUUAAAAUAUAUAUUUUUAGUUUAUUUUUAGUCCAUGGACAUUUGUGUCAUCUUUUGCAGCCUUGUUGCUUCUUAUGUUUGCAGCUUUGCAGGUCUUCUUUGCAGCUUAUAGUUAUUUCCGUCCUCCACAAGGAGUGUGAGGGGUUGCUUGUAAACAUAAACACAUUGAAUAAAAUUUUAUAUUUACUUGUGAUUUGUCGACUUUGAUUUGAAGCUUUACUGAAACUCUGUUGAGUUUAGAUUAAUUAGUCUUUUGAAGAUGAAUGUUUUAGGUAUUAAAAAUCUUCUCUUUUCUGAGCUCUAGUAGUAUAAUCCUAUAAUUAGAUGUUUCGAAAUAUGCAGCUCUGAAGAUGAUCAUGUAAAGUAUGUUCCAUUACUCUUGAGUAUAUUUUACAUAUAAGGUGUACAAACCCACAUAAGAAGGGAAUUUCAUUUCACAGUCAAAACUAUGGUCUAAAGGCUAAAACUUUGGUUUCCACGAGAUGCAAAUGUCACAAAAAUGAUGUUGAGCAGCAGUGAGUUGAAAAGUGACUUGGAUGAUUUGCCUCUACCUGUUAAUGGAACUCUUUCAUCUAAUGGUAACGUACAAUCAGCUGGAACAAAAUCUAUAUAUGAUGCAGCUUGGGAUCUGUUGAGGCAAUCCAUGGUUUACUACUGUGGCAGUCCUAUUGGAACUAUCUCUGCUAACGACCCUAACUCUACCAGUGUACUGAACUAUGAUCAGGUCUUCAUUCGUGAUUUCAUUCCCUCCGGGAUGGCCUUUCUACUGAAAGAAUGAGUAUGUCGUUGUCCACAAUUUAAUUCUUUGCAUCCUCCAGUUACAGGUGAUAGAAAUUUUCUUAUCAUAGUUGUAAAGACAACAAGUAAUUGGACAUGUUGCUCCGGUUGAUUAUGGUAAGAGAAGUUUAUAUUUUUCAACCAUGUGAAAAGGACAUACAGAUCUGUUCUGGUAUCAUGUUAACUUUGAUGUCAGUAUGUCACGUUCCAUAUGUUUUGAAAUUACAGGCUUGUAGUGGAUUUAUAUUAUUACUGAGAGCAUAUGGAAAAUGCAUUUACAGAUACCAGACCGAGGAGAACUGUUAUGACGCGGUUAAUAAGUUCAACAUUUAUCCAUAUCAGAUCCCUUCGUGGUUAGUGGACUUUAUGCCCAACAGUGGAGGACAUUUGAUUGGAAAUAUUCAGCAAGCUAACAUGAACUUCAGAUUCUUUUCUUUGGGGAACUUUUGGUCUAUUAAUUAAUUAUGUAAUCGCUUAAAACUAGUAAUGAUCAGUCACAUGCAAUUCUUUAUUUGGUCGAAGCAAAAUGGACAGAGCUUGUAGCAGACAUGCCAUUCAAGAUCUGUUACCCUGCUACGGAAUGUGAAGAAUGGAGAAUCAUAACCGGAAGUGAUCAAAGAACACCCCUUGGUCUUAUCACAAUGGAGGUGCCUGGCCAAGGCCAACUUUGUUAUGGAAUGUAUGAUCAGCGGUAAUCCUACAAGGACACAAAGACGUAAAAAGGCUCAACAAUCAUUUAUUGUAUGAAAAGCUCACUAAUCUUUUCUCAAAGUGAACAGCAUUCAAUAGAACGAUACAAAAUUGUUGUGUAAAUAGUUUAUCUUUAGAAACCGGAAUUUAAUACCUAAGAAACAUAUAGCCAGUA